rnacentral:rRNA from 1 species
UACGUAGGGUGCAAGCGUUGUCCGGAAUUAUUGGGCGUAAAGAGCUCGUAGGCGGCCUGUUACGUCUGCUGUGAAAUCCCGGGGCUUAACCCCGGGCCUGCGGUGGGUACGGGCAGACUAGAGUGAUGUAGGGGAGACUGGAAUUCCUGGUGUAGCGGUGAAAUGCGCAGAUAUCAGGAGGAACACCGAUGGCGAAGGCAGGUCUCUGGGCAUUAACUGACGCUGAGGAGCGAAAGCAUGGGGAGCGAACAGG